AAAAAGAAAAACCCUGGAUUUCCGUGUCCAACGUUUGACCGUCCGUCUUAUUUUAAAAAAUUAUAAAAAAAAGACAAGUCACGUAUAAAGUAUUAAUCAUAUUUUAUCAUCUAACAACAAUAAAAAUAGUAAUUAUAAAAAAUUUUCAUAUAAGACGGACAGUCAAACGUUGGACACGAAAACCCAGAGUUUAUCUUUUU
rnacentral:pre_miRNA from 1 species